rnacentral:lncRNA from 1 species
AUUUAUAGUAAAAAUUUGGUCGUGAAAAACGCUUGAAAUUAAAAGGUAGGUUUCUUAUAUAGCCCUAAAUUGGUUGUUGUAUGAGCUUUUAAUAUUAUUUAUUAGGUGUAUUCCCUGUUAUAAUACAUUUUUGCAAUAUUUAUUGCCAGUUUUUUAAUCGCCCCUGAUUUACACUAUAUUUAUUAUAAUUAAAUGGCAUGUCGGUCAUUCGAUCAAGAAUCCACUUAUAUAAUAUGGAGCUCCUUGUGCAAGUAUUCUGGCUUUAAGAGAGAUAGACUUCGGUUACUGUCAAUAUAAUUGGUAAACAGAUAUUCUCAUGUAAUCAGUUCAAUGUUUAUGUUUGCAAUGUGCUCAGCCAAUCAGCAGUUAGGCCACUAUUUGUUGCAUAUUAGUUUCUCAUCCAGGGCUGUCCCCAAAGUUGAUGCGGGCGGGCGGCCAUUACCAUUAUGUAGAUUGAGUGUCGCCUUUGUGCAUGCUUGUACAAUUUUCUGUUUAAAAUUUUCAUUGAUUUCCUGUAAUGGGUCAUUCCAGAAAACAUCCAUACCACCCUCACAGAGGAAAUUGGAAGUUAACCCCCCCUACCCCCUUUGGAUGUCCUAAUAUAUUUACUAUUAUCAGAAACAAUUUUGUCUCCCCUCCCCCUCCGGACGGCAGAAAUUUCCUCUGUGGGGGGAGUGUGGAUCUUUUCUGGAACGACCCAAUAGGCAAUUCCAGCUUUUAAUUUUUGCAUGCAGGGAGGGAUGGGAAGUAAGGUAUCAUAUUGCUGAUUAUGCUGGAAAAAUAAAAAUGGCGACCGUAUAAACACUGAGUGAUAGCUUAUACUUAUAAAUAUUGAAAUAUAUCGGUUGUUUCGGCAGUUUUUAUUUGCAGCAUAAUCAGCAAUUUGAUGCCUUACUAACCGUCAUCCCCUGCGAGCAUAAAUUAAAAGCUGGAAUUGCCUAUUGAGCUUCUAUAUUAAAAUGUAAAGUGUCUAAGGUAGGAAAGAAAUGGUAUUUUGCAAAUGAAUGUGUAAAAUUUGUAUUUAAUUAAUAGAUGAAAAUUGUAAUAAUAAUGGCCACCGAGGCAGCUGACUAAGGGGCUGUUUACAUGAGCCCUACCAGGAGGGCUGGCCCUAGCAGUAGGGCUAAUUUUCACCACUUGUUUACAUGAGAAAAAUCAGCCCUACUGGUAGGGAUAGCUUCCUUUUGCAAGUAGCACUUAAAUGGCUUCUGUGCAACUCAUUAUUUUUAUUUUGGCGUCCAAAAUCAUAGUUUGCCGACUAAAUUUUGGAAUAAAAGCCAACAGGGGGGGGGUUAUUAAACGCUCCUAGAAUCUCUCUAACCCCUCUUAUAAAGUGUUCAACAGUGACAAAAUUUCGCUUCACCCCUACUAUCUUGUGUGUAAGUCUUUACAUGUAACCCUAACCCCUGCCAAAGCUCGUCCAGUGGUGCUGCUUGCACCCCACUAGAAAUUUUUCCACCCCUCCCUUUAAAAAAAUGAAAAUCUGCCCUUGAUAUUUAUAGAGCCUUGUUGUCAUGUGUGACAUUAGUUAAAGUCCAACAUUUCAAACAGGAUAUGUUCUAUAGUCAAGUUGGUGUAUACUUUCCGGAAGUGUACAUUGUGAAUAAACCAACUUGUUAUGAAUCUGAUUAAAUUAAAUUAGUAUAAUCCUGUUUUCCUAGGUUAGAACCAUGGCAUCUGAUGGAAAACAUGAGUCUACUGAUGAAAGAAGAGGCAGCAACCCUCCUGACUUUUCUGAUCAAGAACAAGAGUUAGCUCGAAAUGCUCUCACAGAAUUUGAAUUGGCUCGUUAUGACACUUGCCUCGGUUCCUUGUCAAAGCUUGAGGACCUACGACUGAAGGAUGUCAAAGUUGCGCAUAACAAGGCUGUAGCAGAAUUUUAUAAAUCUGGAUGUGAAAAAACUGAGGACCUUUUGAAAACUCUAAAUAGUGUCAAAAAGAAG